CCAGCUUUCUGCAUCACUUGAAAGCUGAGUCAUGCCAUCUUUUGUUGAACUUCAAUGGCAUAUUUGUUUGUCCUUUAAGCACCUUCUCAACACGAAUAUGAGCGUUCUUAUGUGUGCACUUUCACCAGUUAGAUGUGUUUUUAGCUGUCCGUGAUGAUAUUGGCAGCAAUGCUAUCUAUGCCUGCAUGGAAGCCUGUUGAAAUUGGGAGUAUUACAUCGCCACCACGAGCCUCUGAAUCUGGUUGUUCGUAUUGUGUUGCAUUUUCCCGAGUCUUGGGUAGAAAGGCCAUUUUAUUGUUUAUCUGAAAACCAUGCUCAUUUGGGUCCUCCCAUUGCAGAUUAUUUUUACCGACAUGUAAGAUCCUUGGAAGCACCUAACUGUGCUGACACUUGCCCCUGUAUGUUUCUCAGGUAUGCCUUUCUUUUGGGUCAUAAACUUGGAAUGUUAAUCAAUAAAAUUUGAAUUCAGCAUCAGGUUUUCUAAAUUCAUUGCAUUUUGAACAAAACCAAUCACUAGAAAGCAGACUAACCUUUUUAUUUCAUUGCCUCCUUGAAGGAAAGUUACAACAGAGUAAAGGAAAAAGGAGAACGUCAAUUACAUAUAGACUAUAACUAUCAAACCCAUAUGGAUAGGAGCUGGAACAACUUAGCUGCGUCCCAGUCUACCCUUCAUGACAUGCCUUCUUAAACCUGGAAUAUGGAUAUUUGAGAUGUAAUCUUUCCAGUCUAUGUUCUCCACAUCAAAUCCAAACUUCCUUCUUUCUUCUUUAGACAUAUACCCCAUCAACAAGUGCGUGUUACUGUUGUCAAACCUGGCAUUUUUUUUUUUGUUUUGCUGUUAAUCUCAAAGCUAAGUCACACAUAUAGUUGCAUAACUGUAAGUUGGAAAAAAUUACCUUCCGCCGUAGAAAGUGUAUGGCUCAUACAGAUUGGCCAAGUAUUCUGCUUGCUCCACUGAUUUUCUGCAGAUGCUUUCGAGCUUUCCGGACAUCUUUCCACCUGGGUGAGGGCUAGCUGCUAGACCACUUCUGCUGAUUGCAUCUCUCCUAAGGUGAGUGGAAAAAUCUUCCAUAGACCUGAAUAGCUCCAUUUUCGGGACACGAAUUGGUUUCCCUUUCGAAUCAAAGCAUGGGGAGGAAUUGAAAUGCUCGUAAAGCAAUGUUGCAAGAUCCUUGAAAACUAGAGGGUUGACCACAGAUGAAGCAAUCUGAUAGAUAUUACUUCCUGAUUUUCCAGCUUCCCCGUGCUUUGCCAUGGCUGCUAAAAUGGCGUUAACGACCAUAUCUGCUGGAACCUAGAUAAAAGCCCUUUGUCAUGACAAAUGAUGUUGAAACAUAGCUAAUCAAUUAGGCUUACAAGUUCUGGAUUUGCAAACAGUCUACUCACAACAUCAAGGACACCAUUGGGGUCUGCCAGAAACCCCGAAAGCUGCCCUUUUCCAUAGUACAGGAGAACAGGAUCCAUCAUCCUGAAUGGACAGUUCUAGUUUAAUCUUGAGUGUCGCAUAAAUUUUUCCAUCCAUUUGAAAUUUUAGGUUAUUCAGUGACAUAUAGUAUCAAACCUGCUUCCUUCAAUCCAUCCUGGAAAUGGUUCCCUGUAAGUGCUCUCGAUAACACUCGGUCGAAUGAUCACAACUGGAAUGUCACCUCUUAAACUAUCAAUCAUCAUUUCUCCCAUAGCUUUUGUGAACACGUACGUGUCUUGCCAUCCAAAUUUGUUUGCCCUGAAAAUUGUAACGAAGAUUGAUACAUAUUUCAGCUUGUUCUUUAACCUAAUCAGACGCAAUCUGGUGAAGUUUUUUCGUUGAUUACCUCUCUAGACCAAGACUCUUCAUCCUUUGAGCCAAAACGCUAUCAUCAAUAGCUUGUUUUGAUUCUAUAACUAACUUUAUCUCAUCUUCAACAUUCAAGGUGGGGAGGAAUAUGCAGUCUGCUCCAAAGAGGAGACUCUCUCUUGCUAUACUCUCACCAGCAGAAAAUGGCUUCUCCAUAACUGUUCCUUGUCGCCGCCCAUUAACGUAAGCUGCAGGCAAGAAGAGCAAGAGUUUAAAUUGACAUUGCCUAGGAUUAGGAAAGAGUACGUACUUGAUUGCAUGGCCUUUCCCUACUUGCCUGUAGACACUUGCAAGAAGAGCUGAAUUCUGUGGCAUUGUUUGGCAAAGCUCAUCAACCG
rnacentral:lncRNA from 1 species